AGCGUAGACGGCGCAGCAAGUCUGAUGUGAAAGGCAGGGGCUUAACCCCUGGACUGCAUUGGAAACUGCUGUGCUUGAGUGCCGGAGGGGUAAGCGGAAUUCCUAGUGUAGCGGUGAAAUGCGUAGAUAUUAGGGAAGAACACCAGUGGCGAAGGCGGCUUACUGGACGGUAACUGACGUUGAGGCUCGAAAGCGUGGGAGCAAACA
rnacentral:rRNA from 1 species